GACGAACGCUGGCGGCGUGCCUAAUACAUGCAAGUCGAGCGAAAAGAUGACGACCUUGCUCCUCUGACGUUAAACGCGGACGUGAGAGUAACAUGUGGUUACCUUACCUUUAAGACAGGGUCAACUACGGGAAACCGGAGCCAAAACCGGAUCAUAUCUUGAACCGGAGGGUUCAAAAGUGAAAGCCGGUUUUGCUGUACCUUAUAGAUGUAUCCGUGCGGCAUUAGCUGGUUGGUAAGGUAACGGCUUCCCAAGGCCACAAUGAGUAGCCGACCUGUGAGGGUGAACGGCCACACUGGGACUGAGACACGGUCCAGAGUCCUACGGGAGGCAGCGGUAGGGAAUGUUCGGCGAUGGGCGAAAGCCUGACGGAGCGACGCCGGGUGAGUGAUGAAAGUCUUCGGGUCGUAAGACUCUGUUAGUAGGGUAAAACAAUUGUGUAAGUAACUAUGCACGUCUUGACGGUACCUGAACAAAAAGCCACGGCUAACUACGUG
rnacentral:rRNA from 1 species